GUCCUGGUAGCUCAGUCGGUUAGAGCGUCGUGCUAAUAACGCGAAGGUCCGGGGUUCGAGCCCCUGUCAGGACA